rnacentral:rRNA from 1 species
UACGUAGGGUGCAAGCGUUAUCCGGAAUUAUUGGGCGUAAAGAGCUCGUAGGCGGUUUGUCGCGUCUGCUGUGAAAACUGGAGGCUCAACCUCCAGCCUGCAGUGGGUACGGGCAAACUAGAGUGCGGUAGGGGAGAUUGGAAUUCCUGGUGUAGCGGUGGAAUGCGCAGAUAUCAGGAGGAACACCGGUGGCGAAGGCGGUUCUCUGGGCCUUACCUGACGCUGAGGAGCGAAAGCGUGGGGAGCAAACAGG